rnacentral:rRNA from 1 species
GACGAACGCUGGCGGCGUGCUUAACACAUGCAAGUCGAACGGAAAGGCCCUGCUUUUGUGGGGUGCUCGAGUGGCGAACGGGUGAGUAACACGUGAGUAACCUGCCCUUGACUUUGGGAUAACUUCAGGAGACUGGGGCUAAUACCGGAUAGGAGCUCCUGCUGCAUGGUGGGGGUUGGAAAGUUUCGGCGGUUGGGGAUGGACUCGCGGCUUAUCAGCUUGUUGGUGGGGUAGUGGCUUACCAAGGCUUUGACGGGUAGCCGGCCUGAGAGGGUGACCGGCCACAUUGGGACUGAGAUACGGCCCAGACUCCUACGGGAGGCAACAGUGGGGAAUAUUGCACAAUGGGCGGAAGCCUGAUGCAGCAACGCCGCGUGCGGGAUGACGGCCUUCGGGUUGUAAACCGCUUUCGCCUGUGACGAAGCGUGAGUGACGGUAAUGGGUAAAGAAGCACCGGCUAACUACGU